rnacentral:rRNA from 1 species
AAAGAAACUAACAAGGAUUCCCCUAGUAACGGCGAGUGAAGUGGGAAAAGCUCAACUUUGUAAUCUGGCUGUCUUUGGCAGUCCGAGUUGUAGUCUAGAGAAGUGUUAUCCGCGCAGACCCUUAUAGAUUUCGGUUGGAAUGCCAAGUCAAAGAGGGUGAGAAUCCCGUAUUUGAUAAGGUGGUCUUGUGCAUUGUGAUACGCUUUCAAAGAGUCGAGUUGUUUGGGAAUGCAG